UACGAAGGGUGCAAGCGUUACUCGGAAUUACUGGGCGUAAAGCGUGCGUAGGCGGUUAGUUAAGUCUGCUGUGAAAGCCCUGGGCUCAACCUGGGAACUGCAGUGGAUACUGGCUAGCUAGAGUGUGUCAGAGGAUGGUGGAAUUCCCGGUGUAGCGGUGAAAUGCGUAGAGAUGUGGAAGAACACCGAUGGCGAAGGCA
rnacentral:rRNA from 1 species